rnacentral:rRNA from 1 species
GACGAACGCUGGCGGCGUGCUUAACACAUGCAAGUCGAACGGAAAGGCCCUGCUUUUGUGGGGUGCUCGAGUGGCGAACGGGUGAGUAACACGUGAGUAACCUGCCCUUGACUGUGGGAUAACUUCAGGAAACUGGGGCUAAUACCGGAUAGGAGCUCCUGCUGCAUGGGGGGGGUUGGACAGUUUCGGCGGUUGGGGAUGGACUCGCGGCUUAUCAGCUUGUUGGUGGGGUAGUGGCUUACCAAGGCUUUGACGGGUAGCCGGCCUGAGAGGGUGACCGGCCACCUUGGGACUGAGAUACGGCCCAGACUCCUACGGGAGGCAGCAGUGGGGAAUAUUGCACAAUGGGCGGAAGCCUGAUGCAGCAACGCCGCGUGCGGGAUGACGGCCUUCGGGUUGUAAACCGCUUUCGCCUGUGACGAAGCGUGAGUGACGGUAAUGGGUAAAGAAGCACCGGCUAACUACGUG